GCCAUGCUUCGCCCAUUGCAUAACCCGUUCCAUAAUCCUUAUUUCUACUGUACUCUUUAUUGUAUUGUUCUUCAAGUACUUACAACAGUUAUAUAAUAUGAUAGGCUAAAAGGCGGGAUGUCAGCGAUACUGAGGUUGGUUUUAUCUUUGGCACGUACAGCUUAGUGUCAUUUCUCUCUUCAUUGGUUUAUGGACCCUUUGUGAUUCCACAGAYUGGUCCUUAUUUUGUAUUAUUUUCUGGGCUGUUCUUAUGUGGGGGUGCUAAUUUUAUAUGUGGGUUUUUUGAUUUGAUUCAAGAUCGUCUGACAUUUUCGUUAUUGUCCUUCACAAUUCGAGCUGUUGGAGCACUUGGUGGUUCGGCCUGUGAGAYAUCUAUAGUUGUGAUACUAACACAAGAAUUUCCUGAAASUCUUGCCUUUGUUAUCGGUUUGUUGGAGAUUUUUGCUGGCUUGGGAUUCGUCGUCGGUCCAGUUCUGGGUGGUGUCUUUUACUCCGUAAGUAGAUGUGAUAAAACACCAACUGCAUCCUGGUAUUUUAUUGCUAUAGGUAUACAAAACUGUCCACUUCAAUUUCUCGUAA